UCAAGGAAAGAGGAGUGCAACAAAAGACCAUCAUAUAUAUCAACAAGCCAAGGUUGUUCACAUUUGAAAUACAUCCACGGGUCCUUUGUGUGUGACAUGAAAAGCUUAGCAUGAAUGGAACAAAGGAGGUGAUUUUGGAAAAUAUCAAGAGAUAAGGAAACUACAUUGGUCUUAAUGGCUUCACUAUACCCAAAAGGUAAGACUACCUUUGGCUUAGGAACCAUAAGAUACAUU
rnacentral:lncRNA from 1 species